AUCCUUGGAGAGGCCCGGGCAAGGCAAGCACAUCACUCCGCACGCCUCGCACCCAGCCUUUGCUUGGCGAUGCGCCUCAGCCCUGGCCCAGGUACCCCGAACCCUGGGGUCUUUCUGGAUAUUGCCCUGCCUCGAGCCCAGAUGCUGGAAUCCUAAUACAGAAGCCAGAACCCAUCUCUCCGUCCAAAUCAAUGAUCAGCGGCCCCCCACAGCUAAUGUUCCUGGGCGCGGCUCGGAGAAGGCAGCUUCGCAGGCAGAACGCGCGCUCCUCGCUGCCCCAGGCGCCGCUGGUACGAACCCUCCCCUACCCAGGGCUCAUCCACAGUCCGGCACAUCGGCCCGCGACUCUGGGGCUGCCUCCGGGAACCUGGGCAGCGCCUGCCGGUUAGAAACCCGGGGUUAAGAAAAAAGCCAAGGUUCCUCCAUCCUGGGCCAGGCAGGUCUGCUCUCCCGGUCCUGCCUGCCUGCUGGCUUUCCCUUCCUCCUCCUUUGCGCCUGUUUUUCCCCCUCCUUCGCAGUCUCGCUCUUGUUCUUCCCUCUCUUAAGUCGCUUUUCCUCAAUCACACCGGGCCAACACCCUCCCCACCGCACGCCCCCCAAGACAGCCUGGGAUUCAAAAUGCAGUUGGAACACGGAUCACUUGAAAGAAAGCUCUUCAGCGGAAAGAAUUGGAAUGAAAUGAAAAGAAAGGGUGGAGGAGAGAGAGAGACCCCACCCGGAUAGUCCAGAACAAGCAGUAACAAAGCAAAGUCCGAGGGAGCUUCACGCUCAACCCCCGGCCAGGCUCCAGAGCUGAAGUUCUCCUAACUCAUCCUAAGAAUAGGUAAAAGAAACCAAGCUAGGGGCCAUGCCCUGCCCCCAUCCUGUGGGCCAGGUUGGGGGAGGGGGGGUUCUCCAGCGGCCAGAAGCUCACUGGCUCUACCCGGAACCCUGAGCUGCCUAGGGCUGGGGGAGGGGUCCGAGCAGUCGCGGAGCCUGCCAGACCCUCGGCUAGAAUGGGGACCCGCUGUCCAGCCAAGGCUGGCGGAGGCGCACUGGGGGCGCAGAGGGCGAUGCUAGUAGUCUGGACCCAAAGGACUGCAGGAAGGAGACCGUGAGGAAGUGUCUGUGACUGGGAAGCCCCAGCUCCUGCUUGGGCCAGGCAGCCAGCACCUACCUGAUCCCGGGGAACCGGAGUCCGGCGGCGGCAGGUGAGCUGUAGACGCUGCUAUGCAUGAUUAUCCCAUAGACCAGCAGGGCCAGCCUCGCUCCGCUACACAUGGUCAUUCUGCGCAGAUGGGAAAGAGGACACACAGCUGUGAGAACGCCCCUGGCCUUCCACCCUCCAACCCCAAAAAACUCUCAAAGCUGGGGGAGGGACGGAGCGAAGCCCCGGCUCCCUGUGUUGAACACCACUUAGCGACAGCCGGUGCGCGCCCUGCCACUUCUUGCUUGCUAUAGUUAGAAAAAAAUAUAUAUGCAUAUACCCGGCGCCCAAUAACUAGCCAGACCUGGUUGAAGGAAAGCUAACUACCCUGACGCGAUGCCAAGCGAAAGAAUCAGCAGUCGAGUGAGUCGGUCGGUUUGGUAAGAUUUUCUUUCGCUUACCCUUCAACUCUUACCGCUGUCAGGAGAGGGUGUGCUGCCAAGUAGGACGGCGGGCAAAGGGCUUCUUCAAGUUUCUGCGCUGGAGUCACAACCUGAGAGGAAUCACUGUCUGGCGUUGGUGUCUGAGCAGAAGCCGCAGGAACGAGCAGGAGCAGCAGGAGGAGCUGCAGGACUUGUUUGCCGAGGCUCGUGUUCUGUUCAAAAGUUUGUAGACGCGCAGAACUAGGAGGGAGCGUGACACGGAGAGAAGGGGGCGAAGAGAGAGAGACAGAAGAAAGAAAGAGGGGGCGAUGAGUCACGUAAUGAUCGGGUAUCAGAAAAAGACGUCAGCAUCCUAGUCCCUCAAGGAACAUAUUAACUAUUCUGUGCUGUCCUCUUGGAUGAUAAGAUCCGGAGUCAUCGACUUCUCAUAAACACCUUUCACUCAUACAAUCCAAUUUUUAAGAAGUCCAAUUAUUUUGAUGGUUUUCAAUUUCACCCAUUUCUCAAGGACAGGUAAAGAAUUUUUAGAAUUUUGAGGAUGACAAAAGUUAUGUUUUUAACUAUAUAAUUACGAUUUCUCUUUACUUUUUCAUCAAGCCCCACCAAUCAGAGCUCUGGUCUCUGGAAUUAAGCAUCAUCAAGCUCUCCUAUUAAUAAAUUUAAUUUAGAUCUCCUAAUUUCUUGCGUAUGUUCUUUCAGAUAGACCAUUAAAUGUGGAAGUCGUUUUGUUUUUAAAGGGAAGUCUUGGAGGAUUUUCAGUAAAUCUCUCCUGAGUCUGGCUGCCGUUGACAGUAGGGCUAUGAGUAGAUUGAUGAGAGCUCAUGCUGCCUCCGGAGCGCGGCCUGCGGAGCUGUCCAGACUCCGGGUGCUGAAGUGUAGGGUAACAGAUGCUACAAACGUUGAAAAUUGCCACCGGUUUAAUUUUUCACCAGAGCCUCUAAAUUUGAAGAUUUGGCAGUAGUGCUAUUAACGUGGCGAUUCAUUGCCUAAAUCACCCCCACCGUUCAGAUACAUCCUUUCCCCCUUGUAGCGUCCAUAAAUGCCCUAAUGCUGAGAAUGCUCCCCAUCCCUGCCUGGAUUUGAGGAAAAAGCAUUCUGUCCCCCGUUAGUCCUGGCUUUUGGAUUUCUAGACCGGCUGUUUGGCUACUUUCACACCUUCUGUGGCUCUUACAGAUUUUAAAAAUUGAUGUUGUGAAAUUGUGUUUUCCACAAGAAGUGAAAUUUUAAGAAUUUUGGGGCGAGAAAUAUGUUUUUCCACUUUGUUUACAACUUCAGCUCUGUUUGGGAGACACAGACAGACUGGGAAAGCAUGAGGGUUCCCAGUACAAGUUCACCUGAUGAAGGUUUCUAACAGGAAUCCCUCUGCUGGAAACAGUUAAUUUUUUUAACUGAAAAUGAUGUGGGAAGAGGAAAGCAAUAAGGGAAGACCAUAUCCACCCAGAGGCUUCCAAUUUCCUGGGUAAUUGAAGAAGGUUCAUAUAUUUCUACUCCAGUAAGAGAACUCGGGUCUAUUUCUUUAAAAAAAAAAAAAAUAAGAAGAAGAAGAAGAAGAAGAAGAAGAAGAAGAAGAAGAAGAAGAAGAAGAAGAAGAAGAAAAGAAAGAAAGAAAGAAAGAAAGAAAGAAAGAAAGAAAGAAAGAAAAUAGAGCCAUCAAUAACCAUUAGAGUGCAUUUUAAUUAUUUGGAUCUUACACAAAAAUUAGGGGAAAUUCCAGUUUAGUGGGAGGGUUUCCUGUUACUACGAUUUGGAUCUCACAUUUAAAUAAGCUAUAUUAGUUCUGCAUGCUUUUUCCAAGAUAUUAUGUUUCUCCUCCUAAAUGCUGUUCCUGCUCUUAUUUGAGAUUUAAUACUUCCUCCUUCUUAAAAAAAAAAAACUAAGUUUUGUUUAUUCCUGGCCAUGAAUGACCGAAAACUGUCUGCUUCCUCUUAGUUUAUUCCUGGCCGUGCUUCAGAUUGUCUGCUUUCAAUAAAGCUUCAAACCACA